AACGUAGGAGACAAACGUUAUCCGGAGUUACUGGGCGUAAAGGGCGUGUAGGUGGUUUCGUAAGUCUGGCGUGAAAUUUUUCGGCUUAACCGGGAAAGGUCGUCGGAUACUGCGGAGCUAGAGGACGGUAGAGGCGAGUGGAAUUCCUGGUGUAGCGGUGGAAUGCGCAGAUAUCAGGAGGAACACCAAUAGCGAAGGCAGCUCGCUGGGACGUUACUGACACUGAGGCGCGAAAGCGUGGGGAGCGAACAGG
rnacentral:rRNA from 1 species